AAAUUGAAGAGUUUGAUCAUGGCUCAGAUUGAACGCUGGCGGCAGGCCUAACACAUGCAAGUCGAGCGGUAGCACAGAGAGCUUGCUCUCGGGUGACGAGCGGCGGACGGGUGAGUAAUGUCUGGGAAACUGCCUGAUGGAGGGGGAUAACUACUGGAAACGGUAGCUAAUACCGCAUAACGUCGCAAGACCAAAGUGGGGGACCUUCGGGCCUCAUGCCAUCAGAUGUGCCCAGAUGGGAUUAGCUAGUAGGUGGGGUAACGGCUCACCUAGGCGACGAUCCCUAGCUGGUCUGAGAGGAUGACCAGCCACACUGGAACUGAGACACGGUCCAGACUCCUACGGGAGGCAGCAGUGGGGAAUAUUGCACAAUGGGCGCAAGCCUGAUGCAGCCAUGCCGCGUGUGUGAAGAAGGCCUUCGGGUUGUAAAGCACUUUCAGCGGGGAGGAAGGCGGUGAGGUUAAUAACCUCAUCGAUUGACGUUACCCGCAGAAGAAGCACCGGCUAACUCCGUGCCAGCAGCCGCGGUAAUACGGAGGGUGCAAGCGUUAAUCGGAAUUACUGGGCGUAAAGCGCACGCAGGCGGUCUGUCAAGUCGGAUGUGAAAUCCCCGGGCUCAACCUGGGAACUGCAUUCGAAACUGGCAGGCUAGAGUCUUGUAGAGGGGGGUAGAAUUCCAGGUGUAGCGGUGAAAUGCGUAGAGAUCUGGAGGAAUACCGGUGGCGAAGGCGACCCCCUGGACAAAGACUGACGCUCAGGUGCGAAAGCGUGGGGAGCAAACAGGAUUAGAUACCCUGGUAGUCCACGCCGUAAACGAUGUCGAUUUGGAGGUUGUGCCCUUGAGGCGUGGCUUCCGGAGCUAACGCGUUAAAUCGACCGCCUGGGGAGUACGGCCGCAAGGUUAAAACUCAAAUGAAUUGACGGGGGCCCGCACAAGCGGUGGAGCAUGUGGUUUAAUUCGAUGCAACGCGAAGAACCUUACCUGGUCUUGACAUCCACAGAACUUUCCAGAGAUGGAUUGGUGCCUUCGGGAACUGUGAGACAGGUGCUGCAUGGCUGUCGUCAGCUCGUGUUGUGAAAUGUUGGGUUAAGUCCCGCAACGAGCGCAACCCUUAUCCUUUGUUGCCAGCGGUCCGGCCGGGAACUCAAAGGAGACUGCCAGUGAUAAACUGGAGGAAGGUGGGGAUGACGUCAAGUCAUCAUGGCCCUUACGACCAGGGCUACACACGUGCUACAAUGGCAUAUACAAAGAGAAGCGACCUCGCGAGAGCAAGCGGACCUCAUAAAGUAUGUCGUAGUCCGGAUUGGAGUCUGCAACUCGACUCCAUGAAGUCGGAAUCGCUAGUAAUCGUAGAUCAGAAUGCUACGGUGAAUACGUUCCCGGGCCUUGUACACACCGCCCGUCACACCAUGGGAGUGGGUUGCAAAAGAAGUAGGUAGCUUAACCUUCGGGAGGGCGCUUACCACUUUGUGAUUCAUGACUGGGGUGAAGUCGUAACAAGGUAACCGUAGGGGAACCUGCGGUUGGAUCACCUCCUUACCUUAAAGAA
rnacentral:rRNA from 1 species